GUGCCGCGUGGGUGCACCGGGAUCGUGGCGGGGUCGCGCGUGGGGUUUUUCCGCAUUUAUGCAUAUGGAUUUUGACGGAAACGGCUGCGUAAAUGGGCAUAGUGGGGGUGCCGCGCGAGUGCACCGGGAUCAUGGUGGGGUCACGCGUUUAUGCAUGCGUAUUUUGACGGCAACAGCUGCGUAAAUUGGCAUAGUGGUGUGGUCGGGACGCGGUCGGGGUGUGGUUCGGCGUUUAUGCUUGUAUUUUUUGUCGAUAACAGCUGCAUAUCCAUCUGACACGUCGUGUGUGGUGAGGUCGGGUAGUGGGGGUGCCAUGCUUGUUCACUGGGAUCGUGGUGGGGUCGCGCGUGGGGUUGAGCCGUGUUUAUGGUGUUGUAACACAAUUGGCAGGUAAUCGUAACCGUGUCGACUCACGGAAAUCUCGCAACAUGCGAAUCGUGCGGGAUAUUUGGAACAUGCCAUGAAUAUCGACAAGGACGGUUUUGGCGAAUAUAGUAGGAUAACUCCAAAAAAACUGGGCUACGCACCGUCGCCGCUUUGUUUGAUGACCUAGGAGAGGUAGGGUAUACACGAUGGCGACGACUAGUGGAUCGGUGCAGUGUGGAGAGGCUACAGCGACGACGUUACCUUGUGGGUCUGAUGGUCGUCAUGCUGUAACUCCACUGGCUGCGUUACCGGCGCCAUGAUUCCUUGAUGACAGCAACACAGUUCAUCCAAGUUUGGUGGGAGCAACUCACCGGAUACCCAUGAGGACAAUUGGUGAUCAUGAGCAGGACACACCACAUUCUCCAAAGCCAUGUAAGUUCAGUAAGAUAAUGUCAGAAUUUGUGCAUAUUUGAUAUACUGUCCGUGCAAGUUAUGAAGUCCUAGAAAUUCAGCAUGCUAUAAAAUUAUUUUGUAUAUGUGCAAUGCAUGAUGACUCCAUUAAUUCAAUAGGAUGAUAGUAUAGAUCAACGAUUGGUACCGAAGGUCGGUAUGACAUUUACUAAUGUGGACAAGACGUACCAAUUCUAUAGCCGAUAUGCAUAUGAAGUUGGAUUUCCGUUGAAGAGAUAUAGGGAGAGAAAAAAUUGCAAGUGGUUGAAUUGUUCAAUAGAAGGCAAGCGUGCCGGAAGAGGAUCUGGUAAUCCAAAAGUGCGUAAUACAAGUUCCAAGCGAACACAAUGCAAAGCUAGAAUGAAACUUAAAAAAAAUCUAUGACGAUGCCAAAGAGAAUAUUAUUUCGGUGCAGAUUGAUCUGAUUCAUUUGGAACAUAAUCAUGAGUUCUUCAGGAAGGAUACAGAAAAGAAUCAGUUACAGUGCAACAAGACACAUGAUCCCAAAUACAUGGAGUUCCUUAGUGCGAUGCAAGAAAGCAGGAUUCCGCAACACUGUAUUAUGGAUUUUGUUUCGGAAAUGCAUGGUGGACCAGAGAAUAUCCCGUUAACUGCACAAGACGUGAGGAACCUGAAGAAAGCGCGACAAAGAGAAAGAAAUGCCAAUGAUGUGUCUAAGCUCCUCUUUCUUUUUGCAUUGUGUAAAAAAGAUAACCCACAAUUUUUAUCUGACUUCCAGCUGGACAAAGAAGGAAAGAUUUUGAGCAUUUUUUGGUCCCAUGAUAGCCAGCAAGCGGAUUACAUUGACUUUGGUGAUGCAGUUACCUUUGAUACAACUCAUAAGACAAAUCUUUAUGAUAAACCCCUGGGAAUGUUUGUUGGUUGUAACCACCAUCUGCAGUGCACCGUAUUUGGUUUCACGUUGUUGGGAGACGAAGACGAAACUGUAGACACAUUCGAGUGGGUUUUCAAUGCAUUCAAAACGUGCAUGGGGCCUGAAGGACCACGGGUAAUACUGACAGGUAUGAUUAAUAAGCUUCUCAAUAAUUACGAUUUACUAUCAUUGGAUCGAAUGCAAACAUAAUUAUUAAUGUAUUGCAUAAUGUUGUGUAAAUUUAUGAUUACAAAUCAAGACCCAGCAAUGCCAGUUGCACUAGGCAGGGUAUUUCCAAACACAAUCCAUCGUUUGUGUUUGUGGCAUGUUCAGAACAGGUAUAUGCCUUAUUUAAAUGAGUUGUACGCUAGAUUCGAGGAAGAGGAUUUCAAAUCAAGAUCUCAAUCUAUAAUACAUCAUCCUUUGACUGUAACUGAGUUUGAGGCUGCCUGGGCAAUGAUGCUUGAUGAUUUCCACCUGCAUGAUAACAUCAGUCUUACCAGAAUGUAACAUCAGUCUUACCAGAAUGUAUGAAAUUCGCAAGGAUUGGAUACUCGCUUUUUUGAAACAGGAUUAUUGUGGGUUGAUGGUCUCUACACAGAGUAGCGAGAGCAUGAACAAGCUCGUAAAGAGUGCUCAUGUCGAUGCAAACACGCCACUUCAUCAAUUCGCCUAGCAAAUGUUGAAGCUUCUGCACGGUAGGAAGAUGAAAGAGGCAAAAGAGGCACUAGGAUGCAUGGGUCAAAAGGAAACAAAUACACUGUAUAUGUUUGAGAUACGUGUAGCGAGGACAUACACAAGGGCUGUAAUGAAUAGGUUCCACGAGUCUUUGAAAUAUGCUACUGCAUACAGGAUAGCACAUGAUCUAGAUGGUGGUGUGAAUGAUUGGGUGGUGCAUCAUACUACAAGGUCGAAUAAGAUUGUGUGGGGGCAACACCAAUUCAAAGUAAGCUUGAGGAGACCAGAUAACAUAAAGCCAAAGGGCAGAACAAUCAGUGAGACAGAAAAAAGAGUUAUGAAGUUGGGCGCAAAAGGAGUCAAGAAGAACAGAAAGUGCCAAAGGUGUGACAUUGCUGAUGGUCACAACAGUCGCACUUGUCUAUCUUUGGAGGAGAAUAGGCUUCGGUUGGCCAGCCUUACUGGUCGGAAGAGAGGGCGGCCCCUUGGUUCUAGGAACAAGGGUUCAUCUGAUGCUCCAAGUUGAAAUGAGACAUCCACUUCAAAAAAACAUCGUGGGGGUAUCACAGACAAUGAUUUGUCUAGUGGGGAGUAGAUGAAACACAUGUUAGGACAUUUGUAAUGUAGUAACAUAUUUGUUAUUACACAGAUGGAUGAAUUUGUAAAUCUGAUACCAGUUGAUAUUCACAAAGUAUAAGUAAUAAUGUAGUACUGCCUGAAAUGGAAAGUGUUGUAAACUGUA